rnacentral:rRNA from 1 species
GGACGAACGCUGGCGGCGCGCCUAACACAUGCAAGUCGAGCGGGAAGCUUUUUAAAGGAUUCUUCGGAUGAAGUUAAAAAAGUGGAGAGCGGCGGACGGGUGAGUAACGCGUGAGAAACCUGCCCUAUACAGGGGGAUAGCCGAUUGGAAACGAUAGAUUAAUACCCCAUAUGACCACAGUAUCGACAGUGAUACAGCGGUGAAAACUCCGGUGGUAUAGGAUGGUCUCGCGUCUGAUUAGCUAGUUGGUGGGGUAACGGCCUACCAAGGCGACGAUCAGUAGCCGGCCUGAGAGGGUGACCGGCCACACUGGAACUGAGACACGGUCCAGACUCCUACGGGAGCAGCAGUGGGGAAU